AACGAACGCUGGCGGCAUGCCUAACACAUGCAAGUCGAACGAAGGCUUCGGCCUUAGUGGCGCACGGGUGCGUAACGCGUGGGAAUCUGCCCUUAGGUUCGGAAUAACAGCUGGAAACGGCUGCUAAUACCGGAUGAUAUCGCGAGAUCAAAGAUUUAUCGCCUGAGGAUGAGCCCGCGUUGGAUUAGGUAGUUGGUGGGGUAAAGGCCUACCAAGCCGACGAUCCAUAGCUGGUCUGAGAGGAGGAUCAGCCACACUGGGAGUGAGACACGGCCCAGACUCCUACAGGAGGCAGCAGUGGGGAAUAUUGAACAAUGGGCGAAAGCCUAAUCCAGCAAUGCCGCGUGAGUGAUGAAGGCCCUAGGGUUGUAAAGCUCUUUUACCCGGGAAGAUAAUGACUGUACCGGGAGAAUAAGCCCCGGCUAACUCCGUGCCAGCCGCCGCAGUAAUAC
rnacentral:rRNA from 1 species